rnacentral:rRNA from 1 species
UACAGAGGUCCCAAGCGUUGUUCGGAUUCAUUGGGCGUAAAGGGUGCGUAGGCGGCGCGGUAAGUCGGGUGUGAAAUCUCGGGGCUUAACUCCGAAACUGCAUUCGAUACUGCCGUGCUUGAGGACUGGACAGGAGACUGGAAUUUACGGUGUAGCGGUGAAAUGCGUAGAUAUCGUAAGGAAGACCAGUGGCGAAGGCGGGUCUCUGGACAGUUCCUGACGCUGAGGCACGAAAGCGUGGGUAGCAAACAGG